CUCGGACCGUAGCCAGCGAGAUAAGUCAAUCGUAUUUUCUUCCGAUGCGCGCGAGUCAAUGCGCCAAGUCGACGUCUCCUCGACAACUCGUUCAAGUUCAUUGAUUCAAGUAUACGACUAAGUUUGCUCGUUCGAUAGGUAACCAAGGAUGUCGCACGCAAGUGUUAAAAAAUUGGUAAAGGAGAAGCCGAACAAUUCAUAAUCAGACGUUGAUGACGUUAAUUUUGAAUGGGUGGACCCUCGUAAAGCAAAAAGCUUUUUAACAUUUUCGUUUUACAAACAACCAGUAAAUCAUGAUGAACUGAUAAUUUCGCAGUGCACAAUCGAAUCAAACUCUUCGAAUCUUAUAUUUGUCAGAACUCAUUUGAACUCCGGAUUAUACUCAAGAGACAUAUAAUGACGUACAUUUUAGUAGCUAACUCUUUGAGAGUGGGAUUUGUCGCAAAUCAUUGUAUCCAGAAUAAACUAAUGACAGCUCAUAAUCGAAGCAAACCCUAGAAGCUUAAUAAUUACGAGAGAAAAUUCUCAAGAAAUUAAAAUCUCAAAAUCCACUUGCAUAAGGCACAUAACAAUGUCACACAUACACAUGUGAAACGUACGAAUCAUAUUUCGCAACUAAGGUUCAUCUCAAAAACCAAAUCAAUGAGGUGCAAAAAAGAAAUUUCAAAACUCACUCUGACGUGUUGCACGAUGGUAUUACGUAUGCAUUCGAUGAAUUCAGAAAAAAUUUCUCAAGUAAGAUUGGUCCCAAAAAAAUACAUGAAUAUGGUACAAAACAGUGUCGCUUUAUAUGCUAGGUACACAAGAAAAAACUCGGACAAAAAGGAGUCUCAAAUCCCAUAUCAAUAUCAUGCAUCGUUCACGCUUUAUGCCCUAAUCCUCUUUUAUAUAAAUGUAUAAAAUGUGUAUAUUCAAUAUUUAUAUAAAAAUGGCGAUCUACAAAUUA
rnacentral:lncRNA from 1 species